rnacentral:tRNA from 1 species
UCCCGUGUGGCUCAGUUGGUAGAGCAUGGUGUUUGCAACGCCAGGGUUGUGGGUCCGAUUCCCACAGGGGAC